AUGGAGCCGCACGUGAGUGGCACACGAGGGGGUGGCUCUGUACCUGUGGUGUCCCGUGACAUGCUGAGGGGAUCAAUUGGGGCAAGGGGACCAGAGCCAGAAGGGCUCCAUCACCCCUGGGACACUGGUUCUGUGCUGGGGCUCCUGCCCCAAACUGGUGGGGAUGUCCUUGGCCUGGGGGUGAUGGCAUGGGGACAUCCCAGUAUGAGAGGAUGUCCCUGUCCUGGGGGUGAUGGCACGGGGACAUCCCGGUACCAGGGGACAUCCUCGUCCUGGGGAGGGACAGGCACUGGGGAAGGGGCCACGGGAGGCCCCCGGGUGGGGGCGCACAGCCCCGUGCCGGGGGAGGAGCGGGGACAUCGCGGUGCGGCUCCGGGAGGACGCCCCCCGUUGCGCGGAGCAUCCCGGCGCCAAGGAGCAUCCCUGGCCGGGGCUGUGCCGGGGCCGUGCCGCUCACCUUCCCCGCGGCCCCCCCCGUCCCCUCCAUCCUCCCCGUGCCCGGUACUCACAUCUCCAGCAGGCGUCCCGCCCGCCCGCCGCGCUCAUGGCCCCGCCGGAGCCCGGCCCGGCACGGCCCGGCACGGCCCCCCCCGAGCGGCUCCGGGCCGAGCGCGCCGCCCCCGAGCCGUACCACGCCGCCGACGGCAGGGGGAGCGGGGCGAACCACGGCGGGGGCGGCCGGGGGUGGGCGAGACCCCCCCGGUUCCGAGCUGCCCCCCAUGCCGGGGGUCCCCCGAGCCCCGCCGGGGGAGGCUCCGCGCUCUCCGUGCGCCCCGCGUCCCGUGCGCCACGGGGGGACGGCCGGUGCCGGCCCCUUCCCAGGAGACGUGUCCCGUCCUGGGGGGCGCUUCUGACCUCCGCAGGACCCCCCGCAUCCUCUGCAGGACCCUCGUAGCCCCGUGGUCUGGCCCCAUCCCACCCUCACACUGUGUCCCCGUGUCCCCGCCACGGCCGCUGGGACCCGCUGGGGACAUUGGGCACCAGCCAAGUGCAAGCCCCUGGGUGCAGCAUGGGCAGGACGGGAGCUGUGGCCGAAAUGAAGAGGUCAAGGAGACAAAAGGGCUCUUCCGAAUGGAGAGGUCUUUGUUAUCCGCCCGGUUGGUGGCAGGGGACCCGCGGCGCCAGGCUGGUGGCUUCGUGGUGACGCCCGUGUCCUGCUGCCGGUGCCACCACGCCGAGCCUGGCCCUCACCCUGAGCCGUGCCAAGGUGUGUGCCACCCAAAGGCCCCGCCUGGCUCCUCGCCGGCCACCAGUUUAAGCUGUCCCAGGCUGGGCAUCUCCUUGCCAUGGUGGUCGUCAACAGAGGAAGGUGAGGAGCAGAAGAUGACACCGCAUCUGGGAUGCUGA
rnacentral:lncRNA from 1 species